CUGACACGGCGGAAGGGCUGAAAGCAACUUUUCUCCCAGUCCGUUUCGCCGCGCUUCGGCAGAGGAAAGUGCGCCCCGAGCAGCCGCCUCGCACCCGGCGCUGGAAGUCUCCCGCCCGCGGGCCCUGGUACUUCGGGUCCCGGCGGCCCGCGCUCGUCCCCCAGGCGGGCCCUGCAGAAAGACGUUUCCUAAAACCUGGGGCACAGCUUCAUCAAGAGAUAGGAGUGAGCUGAUGUGGUCAGAAAUACAACUGUAAAACUGCCUGAUGUCUUCUAAAGAUGUUGCAGCUAAAUGAUCUUGUGAACUUCCCCUUCUAAUUCCUAUGCAAUGCACAGACAAAAGGACAAAAUUUGGACUCUUGGAAAAUUUGCCAAAGACUUUUAUGAUAAAUAAAUGUGCAGUGUUUUAUUUCUC